CACUAUUAAAUCACAAAAACCCAAGAAGGUCUACCAAACAAACAGGUGUGUUUGACUUCCCGCUCACCUGGUUUCACUGACGAUGUGGGUGAGAGCGCCGCCCUGCAGGUACUCCAUGAUUACCCAGAGUUCCUCCUCCACCAGAGCGCUGCGGUACAUCUCCACCACGUUCUGGUGCUGGUAGUCCCUCAUGAUCACCACCUGAGACCAGAGACAGGGACAGGUGAACCAAUGAUGUCGCACUGCAGCAGGUAACAGGUGUCUGGUUUCCACACUCAGUUUGUCUCAGGAGAAGCAGGAAACAGAAUAAUUCAUGUUUUUCAUUGAUUACCUACUAAAUCAAAUGAUACAAUUAAAUUAUUUUGUGUUGGUGAUUAAUCAUUUUAGUUGUGAGAGUCUAAAGUUUUGUCCAGCUCUGGCAAAGUUUCAUCAAACUUCACCACCAUCUACAAACCACUACGUCUUCAGAUAUCCGUCAACACCUGAGGGCGUUGAUUCCCCUGAAUUUGUCUUCCCGGGCAGAGCCUCACUUCCCUGUCAGUUACCUGAACUCAACCGGCUCAGUUUGUUAGUAGAGAGGAAUGGCACAGCUGAAUCCAAAUGUUGACCCGUGCACACAUUCGCUUCCCUGCACCACCCUGAGAAAACCUGCCUGACAGAACGAAUGCAGGGUUUUAAAGUCACUCCAAAAAGGCUUAUGAACGGCUGAGGAUGCUGAACCUACUGACAAUCACUAAAUAAACAUUUUAGACCCAACCCUGAUCGCUGUAACUCUACUCUUCUCACUGGGUUUGAAAGUUUCAGGUCCAUCAUCUUCACAGCCACCUGUCGCCCACUGUGUCUCUCUUGGGCAAUGCAGACCACACCUGUGGACCCUUCCCCGAUCUUCGCAAAGUUCUCCAGAGUUGUCCUCGGGUCACCCGGGUCCACCACCAUCUGCAGAGCUGCUUUAAACUGCUCGUGGGUCACCUUCU